GUGCCAGCCGCCGCGGUAAUACGUAGGGGGCAAGCGUUGUCCGGAAUCAUUGGGCGUAAAGAGCGUGUAGGCGGUCCGGUAAGUCGGUUGUGAAAGCCCAGGGCUCAACCCUGGGAUGCCGACCGAUACUGUCGGACUAGAGUUCGGAAGAGGCGAGUGGAAUUCCCGGUGUAGCGGUGAAAUGCGCAGAUAUCGGGAGGAACACCUAUGGCGAAGGCAGCUCGCUGGGACGUUACUGACGCUGAGACGCGAAAGCGUGGGGAGCAAACAGGAUUAGAAACCCUGGUAGUCC
rnacentral:rRNA from 1 species